AACAACCUAUUAUAUCACAUGGCAUUCGUGAUGCAUGAUUCAUGCUAAAACUUGCAUUAGUUUAAAACAUAAAGUUUAUUCUACUCACCUCAGGCUAACUCUGACAAAGAACUGAAGCAGCUGACUCACUGCUGGGGUCCUCGGUUCCUCGGGUCCGAACCUACACAGGUGGACUCAAAUGAGGGACCAAACAUACAUGAACAUGACUCUAAAAUACUC
rnacentral:lncRNA from 1 species